UAAGCAACCUGCCUAUCAGAGGGGAACAACAGUUAGAAAUGACUGCUAAUACCGCAUAUACCUAAGUAUCGCAUGAUACAAUAGGGAAAGGAGCAAUCCGCUGAUAGAUGGGCUUGCGUCUGAUUAGCUAGUUGGUGGGGUAAAGGCCUACCAAGGCGACGAUCAGUAGCCGGACUGAGAGGUUGAACGGCCACAUUGGGACUGAGAUACGGCCCAGACUCCUACGGGAGGCAGCAG
rnacentral:rRNA from 1 species